UGGGUUGACCAAAAAGUUCGUUUGGGUUUUUCUGUAACAUUUUAUGGAAAAACCCGAACGAACAUUUUGGCCAACCCA
ensembl:miRNA